rnacentral:rRNA from 1 species
UACAGAGGUCUCAAGCGUUGUUCGGAUUCAUUGGGCGUAAAGGGUGCGUAGGUGGCGUGGUAAGUCUGGUGUGAAAUCCCGGGGCUCAACCCCGGAACUGCACUGGAUACUGCCAUGCUUGAGUACUGGAGAGGAGAUUGGAAUUUACGGUGUAGCAGUGAAAUGCGUAGAUAUCGUAAGGAAGACCAGUGGCGAAGGCGGCGACCUGGUCCGACACUGACGCUGAGGCGCGAAAGCGUGGGGAGCAAACAGG